rnacentral:rRNA from 1 species
UACCAGCACCCCGAGUGGUCGGGACGAUUAUUGGGCCUAAAGCAUCCGUAGCCGGUCCCACAAGUCCUCCGUUAAAUCCAACUGCUUAACAGAUGGGCCGCGGAGGAUACUAUGGGGCUAGGAGGCAGGAGAGGCAAGCGGUACUCAGUGGGUAGGGGUAAAAUCCGUUGAUCCACUGAAGACCACCAGUGGCGAAGGCGGCUUGCCAGAAUGCGCUCGACGGUGAGGGAUGAAAGCUGGGGAGCAAACCGG